GUGCACUACAGGUUCUGUUGUGUAACUUAACAAGCUUCACUGUCCACCAAUGUGAUGGUUCAAGUUUCUUAAUGUCACCUCCUAUGGCAAGAAGUUUGGUGCAACUCAAACAUCUUGUGAUAUCGGAAUGUCAAAUCAUGGAAGAGAUAGUAUCGAUAAAAGCAUAUGGAGAAAAAAAAACAAGGAAAACAUGUUUCCUAAGUUAGAGAAAUUGCAGCUAAGUGAUCUUCCUUAUCUUGCUAGAUUCUGCUAAGGAAGUUAUGGUGAAUUUGCAUCUUUAAAGACAUUGCAGUUAGAGAAGUGUACUAAGUUGGAGACUUUCAUCUCUAAUCGUGAGACAAUUGCACCAUACUGUUGAGGAAUGUUGACAUUGAGUGUGCCUUGUCAAACUAGGAUUAGUUCUGUAGUUAUAAUAGGAGAGAUUUCCUACUCCGAGUUAGAAUAGGAAUCAUUGUACUCCAAUAUCACUACUACACAAAGUGAAUCAGACGACACGUAACAGACGACAUACGACAUUUUGGUGUCGUCUGAGUUAGUCAGACGACAUGUUAGUUAUAUUUGUUGUCUGUUCUCAAACUCAGCCAACACAUUGUAAUCAAUUGGAAUUUGGUGAAAUUGACAACUUUAGGACAACACUUACUAGGACAUAUGUUGUCUGAGAAAUCAGAAAAAAAAAAAAAAAAUUUAGUUUACAUUUAUUUUCUAGCCAAAACACAAAUCCCUAUCUGCUCAAUUCCCUCCCUUAGUCGUAUCAAAACAAAAAACUUCCCUCCUAAGUUGAAAAAAAUUAGGUCAUUCUCCCUCCCUUUCACUCUCACCAUCUCACCAGCCUAUCGAGAGUGAAAUCGAUACACUCUCGCUCUCACUCUCACUCUUAGUCCCAAUCUCUCUCGCUCUUGCUCUCACCUCUCACUCUCUCUCUCUCUCUCCGCCGGUCCAGCUCAAAGUCGCUACUUGGUCCGGUAGUUUACUCUCUCCGCCGCCUCAGCUCGAAGUCGAUUUCAAUUAUCUUGAGAAGCCAUCGCCGCCACCAAGAUCUCUCUCACUAUCGCCGCCGGUCUCGGGAUCUCUCUCACUAUCGCUGCCGGUGUCAGUGUCAAGAAAUAUAAAGAGCCUCCUUCUUCUAUUGGAGAUGCCUCCAAUAGGAUUAAUAAAAGGGGCGAUACAGUGGAUGAGAAGAUCAAGAAGCUUGAUGUUGAACUUAAUAGAUACAGAGAGCAUGUCAAGAAGACAAGGAGCUUUCAGCAAAAGUUGCCAAGAUUGUGGGAGCGACUCCCAUUGUUACAGAAGAUCACACUCAGCCAUCAAAAUCAGCAGCAGCAAACACUUGAUAUGAUAUGCUAGAGUUUAUAUAUGAUUACCACUACAUGAAAUUGUUGUGGCUUUGAAACCCCCAGGCCUGAGUUUUCAGGGAGGAUACCCGAGAAAGAGAAAGCUAUAUUAGGCUUAUCGUGGACAUGUUGAAAAUUGUUGAAGGGAUGAAGUCAUUCAGUCUCCGAUCAAUAUGCAAACACUUGAGAUGCUGGAGAAGGAGGAGAAGCUCCUUGGCAGCGUUGUAAUAAAGAAACACUACUGUUUCUAUGAGUCGCAUUUGUAAUUGAUUGGGGGUUCUUCAAAAUUGAAUCCUAAAGACGGUCUAGAGACGAAGGGGGAGACUCUUGGUGGAUUGGGUGUGCACUGAAAAUGGAGCAAGGCCAACCAGAGGUGAGCUAGGUUUUGAGUUCUUGGUGAAUAGGAGUGGGCAGCCUUAUCUGAUUCAGACAAAUACCUUAAUCAGGAGCAGAUUGCGAGCUUGGAGUUGAAUUAAUCAGUCUCAAGUGCACCUUCAAAUAUCUUUUGAACUUGGUACUGCUGGUAGAAACAUUCACAAUCAGGAAGAAUUUCCAGGUCGUACAAUGACAAUUAUUUUAAGUGUUUCUGCAAAUUUAACUCUCGAUUUCUCAAAUUUCUUUGUUUUGUUUUUGAGCUAGAAUCGAAGGAGAAGGGCAAUAAUGAGCUAGGGGAAUCCUUUUUUUCUUGUCUGUUUCAUUUUACAUCAAUUAUUACUUGAGGUAAAGAAGUAUUCAAUUUGCCAAAACUUCAGUAUCUGUAACUGUACUCAUCAAGUUUUGCAAAUUUCGGGACAAAAUUUUUUGGGAGAUGAGAAGGGUUGGAUGCCGACUAUAGUGAGGGAGGGAGACGGGAAAGAAGAAGAAAAAGAGAGACAGGGAGAAGAAGAGAAGAAAGAAAAGAAGAAGGGGGAGUCGGAUCGAAUAAAAAGAAAGGGAACAGGGAGGAAGGAAGAGAAAAGGAAGAGAGAAGAAAGAGAAGAGAGGGAGGAGGAGAAAAGCAAAGGAAUCAGGGAGAAAAAAGAAGAAGAAGAGAAAAGAGGGAGCACAGGAAAGAGAAAGAAAAUAGGGAAAGAAAAACAGAAGAGAGUAGUGAUCUGUUUAUGAUGGGUUUGGAUUUCAGAAGAAGAAGAGAAUGAAGAUUGAGAUGAUUUUGGUUGUCGGCUGUACAAUAUAGCAAUGGGUGGAGGUUUUGCCAUUCGUUUUUGAAUGGGUGAGGAGGAAGAACUAGUUUAAAACGUGGGAAAGAAGAGGCAAAGAAGCAUAUCCCAAGAAGAUAUGGAUGUGGUUAGAAAUGAGUGGACAAAGUUUGUGGUCAAGACAUAUAUGUAAGCAUUGUACUUGGUACUUGGGUACCCAUAUAUUUUUUUAGUUCAGUUGAGACCUUGUUCUUUAGAUUUGGUUGGACAUGAGUUGAUGCUAGUACUUUGAAUUGAUAAUGUAAGAUUUGUGAGAAUGAUGUAUGAGAAUGUGGUAAAUGAAAUUGGAACUUCGAAUUUCAUAUCA